AUUAACGCUAGCGGCAGGCAUAAUACAUGCAAGUUGAACGGCAGCACAGGUAGCAAUACUGGGUGGCGAGUGGCGCACGGGUGCGUAACACGUAUGCAACCUACCCUAUACAGGCGAAUAACCUUUAGAAAUGAGGGCUAAUACGCCGUAGUAUUACAGAUGGGCAUCUAUUUGUAAUUAAAGAUUUAUCGGUAUAGGAUGGGCAUGCGUCCCAUUAGUUAGUUGGUAAGGUAACGGCUUAC
rnacentral:rRNA from 1 species